AGCCAUGCAGUAAGUACAGAGCAAACUAUUCUUUCACCUUUUACUAAAGAAUAUCGUGUGUGUGCUGCUUUAAGCGGCAUGCGUGUUUGUUUGUUUGUUUUUUUGAGAGGGU